GAGAAAGAAUGCAAGAACUGCUAAUUCAUGCCUCCAGGCUUAACAGCCUGGCUUUCUCA
rnacentral:tRNA from 1 species